UACGGGGGGGGCAAGCGUUGUUCGGAAUUACUGGGCGUAAAGGGCGUGUAGGCGGCCAACUAAGUCCGACGUGAAAUCCCCAGGCUUAACCUGGGAACUGCGUCGGAUACUGGAUGGCUUGAAUUCGGGAGAGGGAUGCAGAAUUCCAGGUGUAGCGGUGAAAUGCGUAGAUAUCUGGAGGAAUACCGGUGGCGAAGGCGGCAUCCUGGACCGAGAUUGGCACUAAAGCGCGAAAGCCAGGGGAGCAAACGGG
rnacentral:rRNA from 1 species